rnacentral:rRNA from 1 species
UACGUAGGGGGCAAGCGUUGUCCGGAAUCAUUGGGCGUAAAGCGCGUGUAGGCGGUUCGGUAAGUCUGCUGUGAAAGUCCAGGGCUCAACCCUGGGAUGGCGGUGGAUACUGUCGGGCUAGAGUGCGGAAGAGGCGAGUGGAAUUCCCGGUGUAGCGGUGAAAUGCGCAGAUAUCAGGAGGAACACCAAUUGCGAAGGCAGCUCGCUGGGACGUUACUGACGCUGAGACGCGAAAGCGUGGGGAGCAAACAGG